rnacentral:rRNA from 1 species
AGAGUUUGAUCCUGGCUCAGGAUGAACGCUAGCGACAGGCUUAACACAUGCAAGUCGAGGGGCAGCACAGGUAGCAAUACCGGGUGGCGACCGGCGCACGGGUGAGUAACGCGUAUGCAACUUGCCUAUCAGAGGGGGAUAACCCGGCGAAAGUCGGACUAAUACCGCAUGAAGCAGGGAUCCCGCAUGGGAAUAUUUGCUAAAGAUUCAUCGCUGAUAGAUAGGCAUGCGUUCCAUUAGGCAGUUGGCGGGGUAACGGCCCACCAAACCGACGAUGGAUAGGGGUUCUGAGAGGAAGGUCCCCCACAUUGGUACUGAGACACGGACCAAACUCCUACGGGAGGCAGCAGUGAGGAAUAUUGGUCAAUGGCCGAGAGGCUGAACCAGCCAAGUCGCGUGAGGGAUGAAGGUUCUAUGGAUCGUAAACCUCUUUUAUAAGGGAAUAAAGUGCGGGACGUGUCCCGUUUUGUAUGUACCUUAUGAAUAAGGAUCGGCUAACUCCGUGCCAGCAGCCGCGGUAAUACGGAGGAUCCGAGCGUUAUCCGGAUUUAUUGGGUUUAAAGGGUGCGUAGGCGGCCUUUUAAGUCAGCGGUGAAAGUCUGUGGCUCAACCAUAGAAUUGCCGUUGAAACUGGGGGGCUUGAGUAUGUUUGAGGCAGGCGGAAUGCGUGGUGUAGCGGUGAAAUGCAUAGAUAUCACGCAGAACCCCGAUUGCGAAGGCAGCCUGCCAAGCCAUUACUGACGCUGAUGCACGAAAGCGUGGGGAUCAAACAGGAUUAGAUACCCUGGUAGUCCACGCAGUAAACGAUGAUCACUAGCUGUUUGCGAUACAUUGUAAGCGGCACAGCGAAAGCGUUAAGUGAUCCACCUGGGGAGUACGCCGGCAACGGUGAAACUCAAAGGAAUUGACGGGGGCCCGCACAAGCGGAGGAACAUGUGGUUUAAUUCGAUGAUACGCGAGGAACCUUACCCGGGUUUGAACGCAUUCGGACCGAGGUGGAAACACCUUUUCUAGCAAUAGCCGUUUGCGAGGUGCUGCAUGGUUGUCGUCAGCUCGUGCCGUGAGGUGUCGGCUUAAGUGCCAUAACGAGCGCAACCCUUGCCACUAGUUACUAACAGGUGAUGCUGAGGACUCUGGUGGGACUGCCAGCGUAAGCUGCGAGGAAGGCGGGGAUGACGUCAAAUCAGCACGGCCCUUACAUCCGGGGCGACACACGUGUUACAAUGGCGUGGACAAAGGGAGGCCACCUGGCGACAGGGAGCGAAUCCCCAAACCACGUCUCAGUUCGGAUCGGAGUCUGCAACCCGACUCCGUGAAGCUGGAUUCGCUAGUAAUCGCGCAUCAGCCAUGGCGCGGUGAAUACGUUCCCGGGCCUUGUACACACCGCCCGUCAAGCCAUGGGAGCCGGGGGUACCUGAAGUCCGUAACCGCGAGGAUCGGCCUAGGGUAAAACUGGUGACUGGGGCUAAGUCGUAACAAGGUAGCCGUACCGGAAGGUGCGGCUG